CAUAAGUAACCUGCCCUAGACAGGGGGAUAACUAUUGGAAACGAUAGCUAAGACCGCAUAGGUCUUCGAACCGCAUGGUUUGAAGAGGAAAAGAGGCGCAAGCUUCUGCUGAUGGAUGGACCCGCGGUGCAUUAGCUAGUUGGUGAGGUAACGGCUCACCAAGGCCGUGAUGCAUAGCCGACCUGAGAGGGUGAUCGGCCACAUUGGGACUGAGACACGGCCCAAACUCCUACGGGAGGCAGCAUG
rnacentral:rRNA from 1 species